rnacentral:rRNA from 1 species
GACGAACGCUGGCGGCGUGCUUAACACAUGCAAGUCGAACGGAAAGGCCCUGCUUUUGUGGGGUGCUCGAGUGGCGAACGGGUGAGUAACACGUGAGUAACCUGCCCUUGACUUUGGGAUAACUUAAGGAAACUGGGGCUAAUACCGGAUAGGAGCUCCUGCUGCAUGGUGGGGGUUGGAAAGUUUCGGCGGUUGGGGAUGGACUCGCGGCUUAUCAGCUUGUUGGUGGGGUAGUGGCUUACCAAGGCUUUGACGGGUAGCCGGCCUGAGAGGGUGACCGGCCACAUUGGGACUGAGGUACGGCCCAGACUCCUACGUGAGGCAGCAGUGGGGAAUAUUGCACAAUGGGCGGAAGCCUGAUGCAGCAACGCCGCGUGCGGGAUGACGGCCUUCGGGUUGUAAACCGCUUUCGCCUGUGACGAAGCGUGAGUGACGGUAAUGGGUAAAGAAGCACCGGCUAACUACGUG